AAGUCGUAACAAGGUUUCCGUAGGUGAACCUGCGGAAGGAUCAUUAAAGAUUUUGUUUUUUGGGGUUUUAAUCUCAAAAAAUAAUUCACCUUUUGUGCAUUGUUAUUAGAUAUACUUUGGUUAGAGCUUUGAUUUCAUUUAUUGGAAUCAACUUCUUGCUAACUCUAUCCUGUUGAAUGGGACUAUCGAAUAGGGACCAUUGAAUGGGACAGUUGGCUAUGAAGCGGCCUACCAAGGUUUUUUAUCAAACACAUUUAAUUUAUCUGACCUAAAAACAAAUAAUUAAAUCAUAACUUUCAACAACGGAUCUCUUGGCUCUC
rnacentral:misc_RNA from 1 species